CGUGUGUGCAAUGAAAGUGUGUGCCAGCUGCCAUGCUCAACGGGUGUGCCCACGGGGAUUACAGGUAGGCGCCAUCGCACCCGGCUAACUUUUGUAUUUUUAGUAGAGACGGAGUUUCACCACGUUGGCCAGGAUGGUUUGUGAAACCCCGUCUCUACUAAAAAUACAAAAAAUUUAGCCGGGCGUGGUGGCGGGCACCUGUAGUCCCAGCUACUCGGGAGGCUGAGGCAGGAGAAUGGCCCUCUACAUACCUGAUACUGCUUAAAGUCAGUUCUGACACCUUCUGAUAUCCAGUUCCCUGAUGCCUACAAUUCUUUCCCAGGCCAAUGGCCUCUUCUGCUCUCUCUCCUCUCCCCUCUUCCAGUAUCUCAAUGGGGUCUAGCAUUCUUUUUUUUUUUUUUUUUUUUUUUUUGAGACAGAGUCUUGCUCUGUCACCCAGGCUGGAGUUGUGGGAAGCCAAAAAAAAAAAAGAAGAAAAACACAUCUGACAAAGUCACUCUGUGCUUAAGACCCUUAUAUGAUUCUUCCUAAGGUGUGCGAUGCCCUCCAUGAUAUGAGACCAGCCUGGACAAGAGAGUGAGAUCCCA
rnacentral:lncRNA from 10 species